AUUGAACGCUGGCGGCAGGCUUAACACAUGCAAGUCGAACGGAACCUUCGGGUUUAGUGGCGAACGGGUGAGUAAUACCUAGGAAUCUGCCUAUUAGUGGGGGAUAACGGCUCGAAAGGGUCGCUAAUACCGCAUACGUCCUACGGGAGAAAGAGGGGGAUCUUCGGACCUCUUGCUAAUAGAUGAGCCUAGGCCGGAUUAGCUAGUUGGUAGGGUAAAGGCCUACCAAGGCGACGAUCCGUAGCUGGUCUGAGAGGAUGAUCAGCCACACUGGAACUGAGACACGGUCCAGACUCCUACGGGAGGCAGCAGUGGGGAAUAUUGCGCAAUGGGCGAAAGCCUGACGCAGCCAUGCCGCGUGUGUGAAGAAGGCCCUUGGGUUGUAAAGCACUUUCAAUUGGGAGGAAAGGUUGCGUGUUAAUAGCACGUAGCUGUGACGUUACCUUUAGUAAGAAGCACCGGCUAACUCCGUGCCAGCAGCCGCG
rnacentral:rRNA from 1 species